rnacentral:lncRNA from 1 species
CACCAUGUCCUCCACCGCCUCCUCCGCCACCCAAACAGUCAUCGAGCACAUCGUCCUCUUCAAAGUCAAGGACGACACCGACCCAGCCAAGGUCAGCGCGAUGGUCAACAACCUCAACGGCCUCACCUCUCUCAACCUCACACUCCACCUCACCGCCUCCCCGAUCCUCCGCACCCGAUCCUCGCCCUUCGCCUUCACCCACCUCCUCCACAGCCGCUACAGCUCCAAAGACGACCUCAGCGCCUAUACUGUGCACCCGGGGCACAUGAGCGUGGUGAAAGAAUCGGUCCUCCCCGUCUGCGACGACAUCAUGGCCGUCGACUGGGUCGCCGACGACCUCCAGGGCCCUGCUGUCCCGCCGCCGGGAUCUGCAAUCCGCCUGACGUUUUUGAAAUUGAAGGAGGGUUUGGGGGAGGAGUCGAAAUCAGAGAUUUUGGGGGUGAUUAAAGGGAUUAAGGAGAGUUUUGGGGAGAUUAAUCAGA